rnacentral:rRNA from 1 species
AUUCCUACGGGAGGCAGCAGUAAGGAAUAUUGGUCAAUGGAGGGAACUCUGAACCAGCCAUUCCGCGUGAAGGAUGACGGCCCUCUGGGUUGUAAACUUCUUUAGUCUGGGAAGAAAAGUUUGCAUUUAUGCGAAUCUGACGGUACCAGAAGAAUAAGCACCGGCUAACCCCGUGCCAGCAGCCGCGGUAAUAAU